rnacentral:rRNA from 1 species
GAUGAACGCUAGCGGCAGGCUUAACACAUGCAAGUCGAGGGGUAUUGGUUUUCGGACCAAGAGACCGGCGCACGGGUGCGUAACGCGUAUGCAAUCUACCUUUUGCAGAGGGAUAGCCCCAGAGAAAUUUGGAUUAAUACCUCAUAGUAUAGUACUUUGGCAUCAAGGAACUAUUAAAGUCACAACGGCAAAGAUGAGCAUGCGUCCCAUUAGCUAGUUGGUAAGGUAACGGCUUACCAAGGCUACGAUGGGUAGGGUUCUGAGAGGGAGAUCCCCCACACUGGUACUGAGACACGGACCAGACUCCUACGGGAGGCAGCAGUGAGGAAUAUUGGACAAUGGGCGAAAGCCUGAUCCAGCAAUGCCGCGUGAGUGAUGAAGGCCUUAGGGUUGUAAAGCUCUUUACCAGGGGUGAUAAUGACAGUACCUGGAGAAU